AGAUCCAGGUGAGGCAGACACAAGGUAUUACAACCCUGUCCCGGGUAAGCAGAUCCAGGUGAGGCAGACACAAGGUAUUACAAUCCUGUCCCAGGUAAGCAGAUCCAGGUGAGGCAGACACAAGGUAUUAGAACCCUGUCCCAGGUAAGCAGAUCCAGGUGAGGCAGACACAAGGUAUUACAACCCUGUCCCAGGUAAGCAGAUCCAGGUGAGGCAGACAGAAGGUAUUACAACCCUGUCCCAGGUAAGCAGAUCCAGGUGAGGCAGACACAAGGUAUUACAACCCUGUCCCAGGUAAGCAGAUCCAGGUGAGGCAGACACAAGGUAUUACAACCCUGUCCCAGGUAAGCAGAUCCAGGUGAGGCAGACACAAGGUAUUAUAACCCUGUCCCAGGUAAGCAGAUCCAGGUGAGGCAGACA